AAUAGAGAAGUAAAUUACAUUUAGUUUCGACCUAAAAAUUUAAGAAUUUAAUUCUUCCUAUUU
rnacentral:tRNA from 1 species